CGCAUCUGUGCAUGCAGCAUAUCAAUAAGCGGAGGAAAAGAAACUAACAAGGAUUCCCUUAGUAACGGCGAGUGAAGCGGGAAGAGCUCAAAUUUGAAAUCUUCAAGGUUUUACCUUGACGAAUUGUAGUUUAAAGAAGUGUUUUCUGUUGAAGUUUUGGUAAAAGUUCUUUGGAAUAGGACAUCAUAGAGGGUGAGAAUCCUGUAUUUGACCAUUAUUUUCAGCUGUGUGAUACACUUUCAAAGAGUCGGAUUGUUUGGGAAUGCAGUCCAAAAUGGGUGGUAAAUUUCAUCUAAAGCUAAAUAUUGGCGAGAGACCGAUAGCGAACAAGUACCGUGAGGGAAAGGAUGAAAAGAACUUUGAAAAGAGAGUUAAACAGUACGUGAAAUUGUCAAAAGGGAAGCGUUUGACACCAGUGUUGUUUUUCUCGAAAAUCAAUUAAAAAGAGUUUAGAUUUUGUUGUGUAUUGACCUUAACAGCUUGCAUUUCAAUUUUCUUGCUCUUUUUAAUGCACUUUUCGUUUAACAAGUCAACAUCAGUUUCUUUUGUUGUAAAAAGGUCAUUGGAAGGUGGCUUUCUUUUCGGAGAAAGUGUUUAUAGCCUUUGACUCCUGCAAUCGGAGAGACUGAGGUCUGCAGCGUAGAUCCUUCGGGGUUAGAUACAUUUGUGCUAAGUUAUAGCUUUUUAUAGACAACUUGUUGACUAUGAUUAGUCUUGUAGCUUACUCGCUUAUGCUAUUUUACCUACGCUUAGGAUGUUGACACACGCGCGUGCUCG
rnacentral:rRNA from 1 species